rnacentral:rRNA from 1 species
UACGGGGGGGGCAAGCGUUGUUCGGAAUUACUGGGCGUAAAGGGCGCGUAGGCGGCCUUCUAAGUCGGACGUGAAAUCCCUCGGCUUAACCGAGGAACUGCGUCUGAUACUGGAUGGCUUGAAUCCGGGAGAGGGAUGCAGAAUUCCAGGUGUAGCGGUGAAAUGCGUAGAUAUCUGGAGGAAUACCGGUGGCGAAGGCGGCAUCCUGGACCGGCAUUGACGCUGAGGAGCGAAAGCUAGGGGAGCAAACGGG